rnacentral:rRNA from 1 species
UACGGGGGGAGCAAGCGUUGUUCGGAUUUACUGGGCGUAAAGGGCGCGUAGGCGGUCGUGACAAGUCACUUGUGAAAUCUCCGGGCUUAACUCGGAACGGUCAAGUGAUACUGUCGGACUAGAGUACAGAAGGGGGCAACUGGAAUUCUCGGUGUAGCGGUGAAAUGCGUAGAUAUCGAGAGGAACACCUGCGGCGAAGGCGGGUUGCUGGGCUGACACUGACGCUGAGGCGCGAAAGCUAGGGGAGCGAACGGG